UACCAGCACCCCGAGUGGUCGGGACGAUUAUUGGGCCUAAAGCAUCCGUAGCCGGUCCUACAAGUCUUCCGUUAAAUCCACCUGCUCAACAGAUGGGCUGCGGAAGAUACUAUAGGGCUAGGAGGCGGGAGAGGCAAGCGGUACUCAGUGGGUAGGGGUAAAAUCCUCUGAUCCAUUGAAGAACACCGAUGGCGAAGGCAGCCAUCUGGACCGACACUGACGCUGAGGCGCGAAAGCGUGGGGAGCAAACAGG
rnacentral:rRNA from 1 species